rnacentral:tRNA from 1 species
GUUUAAAUAGUUUAAUAAAAAUAUUGAUUUGUGGUGUCAAUGAUAUGAAUUAUUUCAUUUUAGACC